AAAAACAACAACACACACACCCUGCGCCUUUUAUUAUUAUUAUUAUUAUUUAUUUUUAUUAUUAUUAUUGCUCUCUUGUCGUUCUUGGAUUCUCAUUUCCUUUUGCGGACCACAUAAAUAAAAAUAAAUAAGUUAUGAACAGACAGCAGCAUGACUGACGCGCCAUCUUAAAAACGCGACGCAUCGUGAGACGCGUCACAACUACCAAAGCCCUGAGAGGUAUACAUGCGUGUUAAAAAAAAUAAAUAAAAUAACAUUCCAGGAAAGAGCACAGGAACUCACCAUACAUGUACACCUAGGCUCUGUAAAAUAAACUUGUAAGUGUUAACUUUUAUCGUAUUUAACAGCACGUCAGCACAACCACGCGCCACUAACCCUGCUGUCAGUGAUGACAGCGGCUCACCUGGACGAUCCGAGCCCUCGUCUCCUGUCGAAACACCCAGCACUCAGAGCUGACACCCUCCAGACAGCUUUAAACCUCUCGCCUCGACACUGUCCUCGUCCGUGAGUGUGAAGUGGAGGCUGUGGGUGUGUGAAUGUGGCUCUGCGUUCUUCUGGUCGUUGACUCUGUUCGGGCCGCUGAGCCUGCGGCACAUCUUCAGGAAAAACCGGUACAGGUGCUCACACGAGGGUGUGUCGACUCACACUGUAGAUCAGCCUCAAACAGAGAUGGAUAUCCAGCCUUAAACUUGAUUCGAACUUAAAGCCUAGGCUAAGGCCUAGUAACCUGUAGUAGCCUGCUCCCUCAGAAAAUCCCUCUUGUUCAGUCCACACCAGACUAGUGUGGUUUAAAGAGAGAGAGAGAGCGAGAGAAAGCCACAUACACUCCCACAGUUGUGUGUCGUUGGGCCCCGGGCUGUGUCUCCAGGAAUGACAUCGGACAGGUUUGAGAGCGGCAGACGCAGUCCUGAAGGACACACACCAUGAGUUCUCACAUGAACAAGUAACUGACGUUUGACUGCUUGUCCGCUUACACUUUAGAGCGAUUUCCAUUAAGAUCCAAACGCAAGUUAAGAAACAUUAUCGGGUGAACGCAAGUCAUUUUGGGACACAUCCUGCCAUCGAGAUGACUGCGGAAAUGCCCUGAUUAUUCUGAAU